UACGUAGGGGGCGAGCGUUGUCCGGAAUUACUGGGCGUAAAGGGUGCGCAGGCGGUUUUUUAAGUCAGAUGUGAAAUACCCGGGCUUAACCUGGGGGGUGCAUUUGAAACUGGGAGACUUGAGUGCAGGAGAGGAAAGUGGAAUUCCUAGUGUAGCGGUGAAAUGCGUAGAUAUUAGGAGGAACACCAGUGGCGAAGGCGACUUUCUGGACUGUAACUGACGCUGAGGCACGAAAGCGUGGGGAG
rnacentral:rRNA from 1 species